CUAUCUUUGCUCAACAUAAGGCAAAAAUAUCAUGGUAUGGUGUGUGGUGUGUUAAAUGUAUUGUUAUUGAAGGUAGAUACUUUUUUAUAAGCAUAUUCUUAGUGUUUGCAGUGGGUCUGGUUGGAAAAUGAGUGCCAUAACUUUCUGAACUUUCGUAAUUGCUUGUUGAUUAUUGUACAUGAUUUAGUAGCCUAGUGUUCAUGAUCAAUAAUUUAUGCAUCUUUAGGCUUCUCAGCUUGGAUUUCUAUUGCCUUUAUCCAUAACGGGACAAUUGUUGGUACUCAGAAGUUGGAAGUCCAAAAAAUUUGCAAGCGCCUGGUUACUUGUAUUGUAUGUGGCAGUGAAAUCUUUAGUAGUCAACUUUUUGAGAAUAAAUGCAAUAAUGGAGAGAAAAGCAGUAUAUAUACAAGUUAGAAUGUGGUUAUGCAGUUACUGGAAUUUUUGGUUUUCCUGCUGUGUUUUAAUUCUAGAAGUUUUACAAAAGUUCAUCCAGUCGUUGUCUUAACAGGGUUCUCUUGGAUUACUUUAGUAGUUUAUUUCUCUCUCUCUCUCUCUCUCUAUAUAUAUAUAUAUAUAUAUAUAUAUAUAUAUAUAUAUAAAAGACCUUAAUUGACCUCAGUUUUGUUUAUUGAGGAUGCCUUAUUGUCUUACUUAUACUUGCCUUUUCUGCUUCAUUAAUGAAAUUCUCUUUUAAAGGGGUGUUGUUUGGACUGACCUGUAAUGCCCUUCAGGUGUCCAGUUUUGUAAAUGUAUUCUACUGGAACAUCUCCAUCAAUAAAGCACGCAUAAUUUGAUAAUUGAAGUGUCAAAUCCAGCAGGUCAUUACCGUAAGGUUUGAAAGUCCAUUGGAUUAUCAAUAUGAGGUACUUAACCUGUCGCACUAGCUUUUACAUGGUGAAUAAAAUUUUGAACUUGGAAAAGGGUGGUUUGUUGGGUAAAAAGAUCUGAGUCAUUAGAUUGCCAGGUUUUCCUUUCUCUUCCCUCCUUUUUUCCUGGAAAAUUUUUAAUCUCUGAUAAAAUGUCUUUAGUCGUUUGUCAAAUGUUGUUAUUGUUAGAUGUUAAUAAUUAAUUGUGGGAAGGGAAGUAGGGAACUCUCUUUUUCUUUUCCUUCCUCUACAAGUUAUGAUCUCAUGGGAAAUGCACAAGGUAAAUAUUUUUCAGCAUUUUUCUUUAAAAGUUGACAUGCAAAGAUGGCUUUGUUUGAUUUGUCUUUAUAUGUGUAUGUGUGUGCGCAUGCGUGUGUUUUUCCCCUCUUUACAUCUAGCUUCACUCUCUUCCCUAUCUUAUUCUUAUUUUAGCGUCUUUGUUCUAAUUAAAAUGGAGUUCAUAAAUAGAACAAGCUAACAUGGCUAUAAAUGAUUAACUCCUUUGGUUAAUUGAAUAUGGAGAAGAUUUCAAUUGGACUUGCACAUUUAAGUUAAGGAAUGACUUGCAAGCGCAUCCCCGAUGAAUGAUGCAAUACGGAUUUGGGAUUCAUUUAGUAGUGCUAUAAUUGGUGCGGCUUGUUUCUGAAUGUGAAGCACGAGGUAAAGAAGCAUCCAUCGUUGACAGUUUUGAGUAUUUUGAAAAUUGUGCUAUCUCUUGUUUAAUUCCAGCAGUAAUAGUGAGCUGAUGUCUGUUUUUAUUCCUUUAUUUUUUUUCAGCAGUUAGAGAAUAACUUGGGAAUCUUGUCACUUACUGAUGAACUCGUUUUCAUGGAACUACUUGGACCCUUUAUGUUUAGAAGUCCUAGUGUCCAACAUCUUACAGUUUUUUUAAUUCAUGAAACAUCCAACAACUUAAUGAUGUUCCCCUGAAAAUAAAUAGAAAGAGCUCGUUAAGAUCCCUAAUGUUUGGAGGAUUUUUUUUUUUAAAAAAAAAAACUAUUUGUAUUGCUCUGCUCUUCCAAAGCUGGCACUUUGGUGGUUGAAAGUUGUUAACAGUCUGGGCUUUGAGGUACCAUGCUAUGGAUUUUCUCUAGACUUUACACAUUGACAUCCAAAAUUCGGCUAUACAUCUUGCAAUUUUAAAAUUUAAUUGUUGCCUUUAAAUGGUUACAUAUAGAAUGUUUUAAUCACUUUAUACAUUUUUAAUUGAUGGUAGCCUGAAUUUUUUAAAAAAAUAAAUGAAAAGGAAAUGAAAGAAAGUGUAUACUAUAAUCAAAUCUCACGGUGGUUUUUAGUAAAUUUCCAAAAAUAAUUUCAUGAUUCAAUUAUUAAUUUCAGUAGCUAAGGAAUAAAAUUUUGUAUUAAAAAUGAUUAAUAACUAAAGAAUGAGCCAUGAGUGUCAACGAGGAGGUAGCCUAGUUGGUCUUCCUUCUUCAUCUUUAAGGUGAAAAGAGGUGGGAGGUCUCAAGUUUUAGCAUUCUCAUCUAUUUAUUUUGAGAUUAUUCACUUCUAUGGUGAGAAAGAGAGGACUACCUGCCAUUAUAUAGCCCACUAGUUGUCAUUGGGUCUCCACUGGAUGCAAAAAAAGAAUGAAUCAUGCGUAAUGAACCAUGAGUUGAUGGUGCAUUACAAGGACUUGCUUCCAACCAAUUUGUUUACCUUUUAUCUUUUGAGCCUCACAGUAAAUUGUCAUUAUUGAUGUGUGAUUAAAAAUAUGAACUGGAGUGAUAACCAAUCAAAAUUUUUGUGGCUUGUUUCUGUAGAAUUUAUAAACCAUUUGUUUAAAAACUGCAUAUGCAUAUAUCAAAAUCUCAUUUCAACUAAGAGAUAGUAACAAGUUUUGCUCCUUCCCUACCAAUAUAAUAUUGUAUCACCUUACACCAUAAAUUACUGCCAUGCAUGUAUGCUAGCUUGAUGAAUGAUCUUACUCUUCUUAGAUGCUGAAAGCCAAGGAGCAAUGAUAAAGGCUUGAGGAGCAGCAUACUCUCUACUUGUGAGCCUGUGGGCAUUUAUGUUUCUUUAUCUUUGAUUUGUCAGCUUAAAGAUGCAAAUUGGUAUCAUUACUAAUAAUUAGCAAUGAUUGCAUUGGUAUUCCAUUGUGAACAUAGAAGUAUAAUUUUCCAGUGCAUUACAAUUAAUGUUAUUUUGAUGUGUUUCGCUUUCAAAACUAAUUUUUAUUUGUUAGACUAGUGCAGCUUAGCGCAUAUUAUGUUUGCUCUGAAACUAUAUGCUGCUGGCUGACUACAGCUUGUCUAUGCAUGUAAAUGAAACGAUAUGGUGUGCCAUGUUUUAGUGGGAGCAAGAUGUGUCCAACACUGGGAAGUUAAGGUAUUUAUCAUGUAUUUAUUGGAAUUUGAACUUGUGUUAUGGUUGCUUGAACAUAUACAUGCUAGAACUAAUUUUUGCUCAAUAGCUUAUUUUGAUUUACGCUAUAAGUGAUAAAAUUAAAACAGUCCUCCAUAUUUGAAGAACAGAGAGGGAGAGACUGAAUGGUCAUGUCUAAACAAUUCUAUGAAAGUACUACUUGGAAAACAGUUGCCUGCAAUACCCACCAGAUGGCACUCGUAGACUAAUGGCUUCGCCGGUCACAACCUCGCUUAUUAGAUCUUUAAAUAUCAGUCGCUCAACAUCCAGAACUAGCCAUGGAAUUUCACUUGUACAAGUUGUCCAAUGUGUUGACUGAUGCAUUAAAUCUGCCUGUAAUAUGUCUCUCAAACUGUCAUUCUCAUCAUCUAAGCUGCAGCUUGAGGCAUUCCCUUGCAUCCUGUCCACCUCUGAGCAUAAUUCCCCCAAAAGCUGCUGUCCUCUUGAUCUUUUGUCUGCCAGCAUAUUUGGUGAAUGCCAAUGCCUCGAGUAACUUUCCAGACGUAAUUUGUGGGCCAGAAUUUCAUUCACUGCAUCAAAUACAAGUUUCCUUUUGACUUUGAUAUGAUUUUCUGACUGGAAAGUCUUUGUUUUGCUCUCUUUAUCAUUUGAAUGCAUGACGUUUGACUUAGCUUGUUCCAGGGCUAGGAAUAGAUGAGGGUUCACUGGGUAGCCUGUUUGUUGCAGGUGAAUGGUUGUAAAAGUAGAUUCAAAAUCUUCAAGAAGGCCUGAUGCUAAUAGGAUUUCUGAGAUGUAUUUAUGGUCUGGAUUUGUGCUAUUGUAGUGGGGUGUAAUCUCAUCAAUGAUGGGUUCGUCUUGAGCAGAUAACAGCUGCGUAAGAUUCUGAAUUAAAGGAUGGAUGUCCUCUGAUUUCCGGUGAUUGAUCACAAGUUGGAAACUGGAGUUUAUGCUGCUGGAAGAGUGAUUUAUGUCCCCAGAAUUCCACUCAAUCUCAUCUUCUGUAGAAAGAAGAAUUGGGAAUCACAAAUAAUGCAUUUUGCAAUAAAUAAAUCUGUAAGACUCUCUCUCAGACUCACAGGCGAAUAGUUUCUAGUCAUUUACAUAUAUUUGGCAUAUCUGCAUGGUUCUUACCAUAAAGUUCUCUCUUUCUUUUCUUUUUUUUUUUUUUUCAUUUAUUUUGUUGAAAUAUGAACUUAUAGCUGUACCAGAGUACUGUUUAUCUUUUUCCCACGGAAGAUGAUUAUUAUAUCAUCUGGAAAGUGUUAAUCAUCUUAAAUCAGGUCUUAGUAACUAUUAAAAGAGGAACUUGGAUCCUCACCUUUGAAGGCAAUUGGUUUCUUCUUAAUGGGAGAUGGCAAGUCAUCACUAUAGAAUGUUGCAUCAAGAACAGACACUGGACUUGGUUGUUCUGAGGAAGCUGAUGCUGGUUCAGUAAUUGAUCUCCCUUUCAUUGAUCUUGCUACCGUUUUCUGCAUGAAGAGAAAAUGAAUAUGUCAACAAGAAAGUAUAAAUGAUAUGCAGAUGAUGAAUAAGAGGAAGAGAACGUACUUUUUGUCUCAGGUGAGCUUGCUGGAUAAAGUUGUUAUUGAUCUUAUUUGUUUUAUCAGUGCUUGAGACUUCUUCAUCGAUUUGUGAGGCCAAGCUAAUUGUGCUCUCAGAUUGCAGAGAAAUUGUGUCCCCUUGGUGGCUUAAAUCCCUAGCAUAACUACCAAUAUCACUCAAUUCAUCAUCACUUGGCAGAUUUGCAGAUUUUGGUCUCAUUUUGUCGCGAGGGGAACCUGAUUCUGUAGUCUGUCUACCGGAUUGCCUUUGUGCCCUGAUUGAAUCUGAUGAUCGUGUUGUUGGACGGGGUUGCUUCUCUAACCCAACCUUUUUCUUUAUCUGUCUACUUCCCAAGCUCUUACAUGAGUCCUCUUUAGCAGUGGACUGAGGGUCUCUUGAAGUGUUUGGCUGCCUUGUCAUUCUGAUAGCUGUGCUUUUAUCCAUUGAACGAGAGGGUAGACUGGAUCGUUCCCUAAGAUGGCCGGCUUUGGGAGUUAGAGCUUUAGCAGUCUGUUUGUCAAUUGAUUCCCUUCUGCCAUCUUCAGAGCCAGCAAUUUGGAGGUCAUGCAGAACUGAAGAACUUUGAGUUGGGCUUACUGAUGAAGCAGGAUUACUGGCUUUGAUGAGUUUAGCAGGUUUCAUAAUCACGAUUGGAGAUUUAUCGCUCUUUGGUGAACUGGUCCCCCUGGUAAGGUUGGAAAUUGGGCUAUUGCUCUGGACGUUGUGCUGAUUUGGUAACUUUGAAUUCUGAUGAACACUGGUGUUAGUGCUUGCCUGAGUUCCUAACUUCCUACCUUCAUUUUUGGUCUCUAGAAUCUCUUUUGUCUUUUGCAUUGCUUCAAGAAUUUGUUUAAGAGCUCUGAGAUCUGCUCCUGACCCUUUAAACUCAAGUUGUGCCAACUUUUUCUCUAUUUCGCCAUAGACAGAGAGAGUGGUGUUUGGAGCGUUUGGUGGAGUUAACCGACCCUUCAAAGCUGUUGUUUCAGAACCCUUGCUUCCAUCUGGCUGCCUCCAUGGUGCUGUUUCUAUUGGAAACUUUGAAUUUGGGAUUUGCUUCUUAACUGAAUCAACAUGUCUCAACCUGGGUGAGAUAGGUUCCUUGUGAAGGUUUCUUGGGGAGCCAGGAAUUUGAUUUUGCUUGUUCUCAUUAGUGGUCCUUGAUGAUCCGAGGAAUGAAUUCUUUUCAACAUCGGGGUGUGUUUUUAUUUGUCUUGUCUGAUUCCCAUCGGCUGACAUGGAACCUGGGAGAACUUCCAAUCCCAUUAACUUGGCCACAACGUUGGACAGUCUGGUAUGGCUCUCUGGUUCUUGUUGGUUUAAGAUAUUGCUGAGGUUCCUGUCCCCCCUCUUCAGAUCUCCUAUAGGAUCACUUGAUUUCAAUUCAGUGGUGGAACCGCUCACGGAUCCUGCUCUGCUAUCCAAUGAUAGCCUUGGCAGCUCCUUGAGCUUUAUUGUGGAUUUGUAUGCUUCUCUUGAUUCCCUUCCAUCACAAGAUAACCGUCGAGCAUCCUUCAGUCCAGAAGUUGAUGACACAACCUUCUCUUCACUGGAUUUCCGAGGUUUCUCCUGAAGCUUAUGAAGAACUUGAGAUGAUUCCUUUAGACCUGAAACUUUGGUGUUUACAAAUUUAGGCUGCUGCAGAGGCCUUGGGGAAUCAAAGUACUUCAAUGUCUGGCUCCCAGAUUCUCCCUUGCUUACAGUUUUGACAGAUAACCCACGAGCUUCUCUAUAGAUUGAGUCUUUGACAACGUCUCUGAGAUCAGGCGAUUGCUGGCGUGACCGAAAAGAAACAUUUGGCUGGUACAAGGGGGAAGGUAAAUCUCGAGCAUGAGUUUCAGGGCCAAUGGUUUGAUUGAAUGAACAUGGUUCCAGCUGAGAUGCUCUGUUGCAUUCUAAAGAUGAGAGACUAGAUGAACAUGAGGAAGAUGAAAACGAGGUUCUGGAUGAUUCUGUAGAGACUCGCUGUUUCUCUUUAAUGGACUUCUUCUGGUUUUUUUCCUGCAAUUAUAAGUUAAAUUUUGCUGUGAUAAUUUCCUCAACAAUUUUGCUAAAAAAAUCUCCAUUAAGAAUUGAUUAAAGAUAAGAAUUCUCACUUUGGCCUUCUGAGAUGUGCAUGGGGGCUCUAUACUAUGGUUGCCAUUUUGACCUGAGAAAGUGGCAAAAUGUCAAUUCUGAACCGACAAGCUUAGAAUGCAUAAUAGAGCAAGGGAGAAAAGGCAAAAUCAGAAGCAAUACACUGAAGUACUUCUAAAUGCAGAUCACUGGAAAUUAAUGAUAAUGUUGUGGCACAGCCCUCGGAUAAUAGAAGGCUUAAAUAUUGCGAUAAGAGAUCGAGUACUGAAAGGGAAAAAUAAAUUUUAAAAAGAAACCAAGAAAAUGUAAUGAAUAGCUGGGGCUAUAGCUUCCAACCUUUAGGUCAAUGACUCAUUGGUACGAAGCUGUUGAUUAAAAUUUUGAAUUUAAUAUUUUCAGUUUGACGCUGAAUCUAACAGAGUUAGAAAUUUUUCAGGCUGCACUGCAGCACAGACGUGGUGGAAAUGAUAUUCUUUGAAAUGCUAAUUAGCCGGAAAGUGAAGCAUUCAAGCAUUGCACAAAAAGUUGAAAAUUUUUAGAAGCUAUGGCCUGAGAUUUUAAUAGAAACAGCAUUAAUAGAAGAAAACUUAAUUAUGAUCUAAUUUAUUGAGCCAUACCAAAGAAUCCACAUUAUUAAUGAUAGAGAGUAAUUCAAGUUGCAUUGGCAAUAGAGAAGUACCUGGUGGAAGCCUCUUGUGGUUUUGGCCAGUGAGACGGCGUCCACCACCAAGGAAAUGGUGGCGGUCAAAGAGUUGAAAAAUUCCGUUCAUACAUCCAAUAUGCUUCUGCAGAUCUGGGUUUUCAUCUGAUAAAGUAUGGAUGAAUUUUGCAGACAUCUUCUUUCUUCAAUGGAGAAAGAUAUUUUCUAAGAAACUUCUUUAGCAUCAAAUUCUAACUCUCCUCUAAGGUUUCAACGUUCUUCUAAAACGCAGAAGACAAUAAAGUAGAGCUCCUUAGAAUCUUAGAAGAUGCAACAUCAAUUAUGCAUUAAAUAUCUAAAUGUGGUUGCUGCAGUAAGCGCAUUCUACUUCUCUGGCAAAUAACGACGGUAGCUUUAGGUUUCUCUCAGAAGGAAAGAUAGAGGCUAUAAUUGUUAUGGAGUUGUUCUUCUUCUAGGAAUUCUUUUGUGGAGAGAAUGAAGCAGGAGAUUUAAAGAUAAAAGGAAAGAAACAGAGAACCUCUCAUCAUUACUUGCAGAGGAGAAAGAUAAUUGUUUCUCGGGUUUCACAUAGCAAGGCAAAAAACAAUAUCUUCUGCCAAAGCCAAGAAAAAAAAAAGAAGGAAAAUGUGAAGGGACCCAGGCCAACAGCCUAACUGUUAUCCAGUAGCCCCACUUUCUGAGGACUAUGAAAUGAAAAUGGUGCAGGGAAGUUCUGCAGACCCAAGAAGAGAUGUUUUUUUGGAUUUCCACAAUAACAAAAGAAUGCUUUGUCUUUUGGCUCUCUCCAGUAAAUUAGAAGGCAGCUAAUAGAGGCUAGAGUAUAUAAGAAGGAGAUCUGUAUUGAAGAGAAUGAGAAAAUGGUGCCAAGUGCAAACCCUUUUUUUUAUUUCUGUAUUUACGUAAGAAGGGAUGUGGGAUGUGUGGGUCAAAUCUGGCGCAUGAGAUGAGAGAGAGAGAGGCCUUUUUAAACCCUAAAAACAAUGAUAAAGAAUAUAAAAUAGUAGAGAGAAAAAGAGGAAGGUGUUUAGUGAAUGUGUGGGACAGAUGUGCUAUGGUCAUUUUCUUCCACUUUCAUGUGGACAACAUAAUGGUGGGGUGGACCUCUGGACCUCUCUCUCUACAUGAGCAUGUGGAGUUUGUCAGGAAUUGGAAGAAAGUAUAACAAAGUGGAUUUUAAUGUACUGGAAAGCCUCCAUUUCUCCAAUGCUCUUUUUUUCAACAAUUCCUUACUCUACUCUUCAACUUUGCCAAUUUAUCAUUUUUCUUUCUGCCACACCAACUAGAUUCCCACUCUUUCUCAGUUCUCACCUUUGACCUCAAAAUAGCAAGUUUGGAUUAGAUGGUGUUAAUGGGUUUGUUUUAACAAUCAAUCUAUUCAAAUUUUAUGCAUUAUCCCAGCUUAAUUAGAUGAAUAAUCUUGCAGAGUCCUUUUCAACUAUUCCAUCGAUUGUUUAUGUGAGUUUUUAGGCACUGCAACUGUUACUUGCUUUCACUUUUUAACUAUGCCAACCAGCUUGGCAAUUGGCAGCAACCCAGAGAUGCACCUUUAUGAGAAAAGCUCGACUACCCUUUAUUUUUUAAUUAAACAAAAGAAGUAAUUAAAUCUCAAUUAAUCCUGAAAAAAAAGACAUAGUUUUGCAAGAGAAAGAAAGCUUGAACACCCUUUGUGGUCUUAGUACUUGUCAAAUUAAUACCAGCAGGUAAGCUUCUGCCAGGGCAAGGCAGCAUUGGCUAUAGGUGCCUUAAAACUCGUACAGCGUAUGAAACCAGAAGUGUGGUCCUGGUCCUAAGUGUUUGGAUGCUGGGGGUUUAAAUAUAUGAGGAGAAUUAGAUUCCAAGGCCAUGGACCAGAGGAGAGCCUCUUUGAAGAUGUCAUUAUUUCGGCUUUAUCACAGUAACAUGGGACUGUGCACUGUUCCUUGAUAGGCUGCUUCAGUUGUCAUAUGGUACUUUGCAUUUGCUACUUGGGUAAUUCAAGACCUCAUUGGUUGGACUUCCUUCUGUUUUCUUCUACAUCUACACA
rnacentral:lncRNA from 1 species